AUGGAACAAUGGUUCCAGUUGGAGGAAAUUGCCAAAAGCAUUACCUUUACUGCCGAGCCGAAUGCCCUGAUUUGGCAGCUGGACAAUAAGGGGAAGUAUUCCUCUAGCUCCCUCUAUCAUGUUAUCAACUUUAGAGGGGUUCAACCCGUGUUUAUCCCUGCUGUUUGGAAAUUGAGAGUUCCCCCUAAAAUUCAUGUAUUUCUCUGGCUUCUCUCCAAAAACAAAUUGAUGACUAGGGAUAACCUUAGGAAGAGACACAUCAUCAAACCCCUUGAUUGUGUUUACUGCUUGGAACAAGAGUCUUGUUCUCACCUAUUUUUUGAAUGUAUAGUUGCUAAACAUCUCUGGGCCCACAUUGAGGAAUAUUUCUCUAGUCAGAUUGGCUCAUCCUUCGAAUCUGUCGCCAGAUUUUGGAUUGCUACCAAAAAGUGCUCAGUUUUAAACACUGUUAGCUCAACUGUCCUUUGGUGCCUCUGGAAAUAUAGAAAUGUUAUGAUUUUCAGUAACACCUCCUGGAUUUCCAUUCCGUAG
rnacentral:rRNA from 1 species